UAUGUGAUCGUCUCUCGCAUAUCAAUAAGCGGAGGAAAAGAAACUAACAAGGAUUCCCCUAGUAACGGCGAGUGAAGCGGGAAGAGCUCAAAUUUGAAAUCUUAAAGGGUUUCCCUUUACGAAUUGUAGUUUAAAGAAGCGUUUUCUGUUGAGGUUUUGGUAAAAGUUCUUUGGAAUAGGACAUCAUAGAGGGUGAGAAUCCCGUAUUUGACCUUUACUUUCAACUUUGUGAUACACUUUCAAAGAGUCGGAUUGUUUGGGAAUGCAGUCCAAAAUGGGUGGUAAAUUUCAUCUAAAGCUAAAUAUUGGCGAGAGACCGAUAGCGAACAAGUACCGUGAGGGAAAGAUGAAAAGAACUUUGAAAAGAGAGUUAAACAGUACGUGAAAUUGUCAAAAGGGAAGCGUUUGACACCAGUGUUGUUUUUCUGAAAAUCAAUUAAAGAACUGUUUAUGCUAAGCUGUUUAGACUUUAUCAGCUAAUCUGUUUAGUUUUGAGCUUUUCUUUAAUGCACUUUUCAGUUAACAAGUCAACAUCAAUUUCUUUUGCUGUAAAAAAGCUUGAGGAAGGUGGCUUGAGAUUCGUCUUAAGUGUUUAUAGCCUCUUGCCUAUGCAGUCGGAGAGAUUGAGGUCUGCAGCGUAGAUCCUUCGGGGCUAAAUGCAUUUGUGCUAAGUUAUAACAUUUUAUAGACAACUUGUUGACUAUGAUUUGUCUUGUAGCUUACUCGCUUAUGUUAUUUUACCUACGCUUAGGAUGUUGAAGACUCUACAGAGAUA
rnacentral:rRNA from 1 species